GCUUGUCUCAAAGAUUAAGCCAUGCAUGUCUAAGUAUAACUCUUUUACUUUGAAAACUGCGAACGGCUCAUUAUAUCAGUUAUAGUUUCUUUGAUAGUCCCUUACUACUUGGAUACCCGUAGUAAUUCUAGAGCUAAUACAUGCGUCAGAACCCAACUUUACGGAAGGGUCGUGUUUAUUAGAUACAAAACCAACAUCUCGUUGGUGAUUCAUAAUAACCAAGCGAAUCGUCGGUUUACCGACGAUAGAUCGUUCAAGUUUCUGACCUAUCAGCUUUGGUCGGUAGGGUAUUGGCCUACCGAGGCAAUGACGGGUAACGGAGAAUUAGGGUUCGAUUCCGGAGAGGGAGCCUGAGAAACGGCUACCACAUCUAAGGAAGGCAGCAGG
rnacentral:rRNA from 1 species